rnacentral:rRNA from 1 species
CCUACGGGAGGCAGCAGUGGGGAAUAUUGGGCAAUGGGCGCAAGCCUGACCCAGCAACGCCGCGUGAAGGAAGAAGGCUUUCGGGUUGUAAACCUCUUUUCUGAGGGACGAAGAAAGUGACGGUACCUCAGGAAUAAGCCACGGCUAACUACGUGCCAGCAGCAGCGGUAAUGCGUAGGCGGCAAGCGUUAUCCGGAUUUAUUGGGUGUAAAGGGCGGGUAGGCGGGAAUGCAAGUCAGAUGUGAAAGUGCAGGGCUCAACCCUGGGCCUGCAUUUGAAACUGGUUGUCUUGAGUGCUGGAGAGGCAAGCGGAAUUCCGUGUGUAGCGGUGAAAUGCGUAGAUAUACGGAGGAACACCAGUGGCGAAGGCGGAUUGCUGGACGGUAACUGACGCUGAGGCGCGAAAGCGUGGGGAGCAAACAGGAUUAGAUACCCGAGUAGUC